CUUGCCCUCCAGCUGUAGCUCCUCUCCACCACCUCAAAACAACACUGAGAGAGGAAGUGAUCACAUACAAGCAGGAAGCCGAGGGAGAAGCAUAUGUUUUUGCUUGGGCUCUUCCAUAGGAGGAGAGACACUGAUUAGGUCAAAUCCCCCCCCCCCUUGAGUGGAGGAGUGCUACACAACUACAUUGUUAUCUUUAGAGUCAUUCUUUGUGUAAAUGGAAGUGGAGGCACCUCAGCUCUCUGUGACAACUUUACAGGGGACAGUGGAGACUGUGAAGGGAGGAAGAACUGGAGAAAAUCACUGCACCGUC